UCUAGGUGUUUAUUAAUACCACUGGUAAUCCUUAAGUAUACAUUAACUGUUCAAUUAUUAACGAGACACGCUACUGGAGUAUGCGAAAAAAGAAAGGGAUAUAGGAGAGAUAGAUAGAUUGGGAAUUUUUGGCGGUACACGAUACGUGGCGGGCGUGCGAAACGUUGCGAAGUGACGUCACCUCGCCUCGUCCCCAUCGUCUUAAUUUAUUCGACAAUGGCCGGCGAGCGGAGAGGAACCGUGGGCAAACCUCCAAUCGGAGAUGGACAGAGAUCAUCAGAGUGGAGGAGCGUGGAAAGGAGCCGUCGGGAGAGGCGCGCGUAACGUAACACGCGCACGCACACAGUCGCGAGUCGCGCGAAUUCCCCCACGAUGGUAACGUAAUCGUUUUCUCCGGGGCUCGAUGACCGAUGACACGUUCCUGUUUCCCCGGGUCGAGGAGAGAAACAGAGAGACCGGCCAGGUUUUAAAGUUUCGGAUCAAGGUCGAAAGAUGGGAGAGGAGAGAAGGAGGAGAGGGAGGGAGGAUGGAUGGAUGGAUCGUCCGCGUUGAGCAGAGAUAGCCGGUGUAAAAGCAACGUUAAAGCCGUAGACGACCAAAGCCUAGUUGGCUUGGGUCGACGACCCCCUGCGGACGUUCACCGACAAGCGUUCGCCUCUAUGUUCGCCGGUGUACUCACUCCGGCUCUAAUUGACCGACAAACGCGCUACGAGGUUUGACCGUGGCGGGACGUGAUUCGUUGGACCAGAAAGAGAGAGAGAGAGAGAGAGAGACUAGUCCAGUUUCCCAUUGGCUUUUAUCGGCUUCGAAAAUCUUCUGUGUUAGCCACCGAAGGCGAGGUGGCUUUCACCGGCCCGAGCCAAACAAACAUCGUACAAGUUUCUUCUACGUGGAAAAAUCCGUGGAAGCCCGGGGAAUAUAGCGGGGAAAGAUCGGAUAAGAACGAAUUCCAGCGAAGAAAGGUUUCGAGCGGAACGCGUUAAACGCGUUACGUGAACGCUAAUUGCAAGGAUUGCAAAACGAAUUACGAGAGAGAGAGAGAGAGAGAGAGAGAAUAGUUCUUUCGCGUCAACGUUUCAUUUAACCUGAAGAGAAGAAUGCAUCGGGUAUCCUUUGUCGAGUAAUAAUACUCGAGGAGCUUUACUCGUUACGGCGAGCGAGGGAGGGAGGGGGAAGAAGGGAGGAGGGCGACGACCACCUACGACCAUCUUUUCUCUCUUUUUCUCUCUCUCUCUCCCUUACCAUCAUUAACUUUGACCAUAAAAAUUAUCCCUUAACGAACACAACGAUCUGUGUCUAAAUAAAUAGGCAUUGUUCCGUGUAGGUUGUUGCUCCGCGUAGAAACUUGAACCAUUCACGACACGCUCUAGCCCUCCGAGUCAGCGAUGCGUUUCGGCUAUUAACCUCUUCCGGAAGCGAGCCCGAGCUUCGCAGCCAAGGCCACGGUUACGUUGAUUGUUCCAUACGCGCGAACCUUGGACAGCCCUCCCCUCCUCCCCUCCCCUCCCUCUCCGCUUCUCCUCCGAUCUACAGGUUGCAUCCUUUAUCGUUCCUUCCUUCGAGUUCGAUGAAUUUUGGGAAGGGAAAAAAAAGAAUUCUUGCCCGAUUUCGUGGUAAAGAAGAACACAGACGAGCGUCGCUUCAUCUCGCGAUUCUUUGAUCGUGUUUAAGUCAUCAGAUAUAAAUCGAACAAACUGUUGUUAAAUAUCGCGUGGACGUAUGAUAUGGUGAUGGAUAGGACGUGUGAUGACGCAGAAUAUUUUUCCGGAUGUGGAGAAAAAUUUGAAAAUCUCGACGAGAGAGAUCCAGUUUCGAUCAACUUUGACCUACUUCCUUACCGGUGUAGACAUUUGGAGCAUCAAAAGCGGAGAAUUGAAACUGGAGAAACCGUGUUUGUCUUUCGACCGUGUUUUCUUGCCAAUUGUAAUCCUAUUCGAGGAAGAAUCGUCCUAAUUCUCUCGAUCGUCAUAAUAAUAACAAUAUUGUGAUCGAUACGUCUAACAAAGUGUUUAACAACACCGUAUACAUUCCACGAUAUUGAUCGACGACCUGACCCAUGCGACGAUACGAGGCGAGAUACAAUGGAUCGAUGGAUGCUCGAACACCCCCCGCUGGUGUUCCAUCUUUCCAUCUUGUCCACCGUCGAUUAAGUUUCGAUUCGCUCAACGACGAGUUUUUCAUUUCUCCAACAAGUGCGCUAGAGAUUAAGAGGGAGAGAAAGGUGGUCGGACGAGACAGGGUCAUGGUUUGGCGUGUCCGACGCGUGAUCGACAGGAGAAGCGCAGAAAAGAACGGGUUGUCGAGAGGCUGCUCGAUUCGCGCGGCACAAUUUUGAAUGGAAAGUUGCAGCGGGAGCCAUUAGCCCGCAGAAGUCAUUAGUGCCCUCGAACUCGGAGGAGGAAGAGGUGAAAACGAACGCCUAAAUGGAAAUCACGGUGAUUGCGUUUGAAAAGGGGGUUGAAGGGGAAAAAAAAAUGGGGCUGAAGCUCGACACACAGAGAACAGGGAAGGGGGACCACCGUUUGAUUUUGGGCAAGGGUUGGGAAACAAUGGCCGAGAACAUUGUUGUAGGUGAGAGAAGAGGGCUGGGAUACGUUCCUGGAAGUGUGACUCACUGUUGAAUACGUAAGGUUUCCGCCGGCGGCUUACAAAUCCGCGCUACAAUACCGGCCUAUUGAUUCCUCCUCCUCUCUCUCUCGAUCUCUCUCUCUUUACACGCUCGAGUAUCCACACGCUGAAGAGAGGAAUCUGGCACGAGUCGACCGUGACAAUCGUUGCCAGAUUUUUCGAAAACCCUCCUUCCGGGCAUUAUCCCGUCCUUAAUGGCCGAGUUUUCCGCGCUUCCACCAAUCCUCGUGCUCGCCCCACGAUCUUUCCGCUCUCGUAUUCGCUGCUAAUCGAAUGUACACGAGCUCUACUACGACUACGAGAUAUACAGGGUGGAGAAAUGGAUUAAAGGUUUGGGCUAGAGUUUGGGAGGGAAAUUCGGGGCUCGUAUAACAGGUAUUUCAAAGAGCGCGAUUGCCCGUUAAAAAGUGUGGGGAGCGGAUACGUAGUAGCUUAUCAAAUCGCGGUAGGCGGAAGAUAAGAGGAGGAGGUUUGGGGAAGAAAUGGCGCGGGGAGAAUGAGAAGAGAAUUGGCGAGGAGCCCGUGGUUCGAUUACCGGCGGCAAAAGCGGCCCCGCAACGGAGCGUAAUCAGUGAUAUAAGAACCAUUAAGAGCGAGGAAAUAUUCGUUACUAAAUCCCUCCGCAACGCGGUCGUGAAAACGGGUUUAGCCCGGGACGAGGAGGUUCAACGAACUUUCGAGCGUGCUCGUUUGACUUUCAAAACGGCGUGCUUCGAAUGGUAACUUUAACAUUUACUACACGAAACGCGCCUUUCUUUUCUUCUUUCUUUCUUUCUUUCUUUCUUUCCUUCCUUCGACCGGACCGAAAACGAUCGAUCGUUUCGAGGAUCGAAAUUUUUCGACCGCGAUGCUUUUUCGCUCGGUGAAACACCGCUCUCUCUCUUUCUUUCUCUCUCUCUCUCUCUGGAAAGCAGUCCGGCUAAAGCUCGACCAACUUUACGGCCCUGGUGUUGUAUUGUGUCGCGGCAGAUAAAAUAAAACGGAAAAGACAUCGUUCAUUGUCUUUCUUUUUAUUUCUCCCCUUUUCUUGUUUUCAUAGUCGAACAACAAUCACCGGCGCGUGAUUGCACUUUCGACGUGGCGGAACGCGUUACUACCGGCCGACCCUUCCUAAGAGAGGAAGAGAAAUCGUUUGGACGGGCGACGCGAUAACUUUUGUCGUUAAUACAUAGCGUGCGGUGUGUUGUGUUGUGUUGUGUUUCCCUUCGUGUUCUACACGCGUAAAACUCGCGUGGAGCAUGGAAAAAGAUCGAUGUAAUACGGGCAUGAAACGGGUCUCUCUGAAUCGGAGCAUGCAUCCGCCACACCAGCCCUCCCUCCUCUCCUCCCCGCCUCGCAACCGUUUUAUCGUUUCGCAUUGUCACAAUCGCGAGAAACUUUGAUAACAGCGCGGAUAUCGUCGUUGCCGCACAGUUGUUUCGAUAACGCAUUCUAGCUUUCAUUUUAGUCCCACCGUUGACACCGCUCGAUUUCUCCGAUCUUUUAUCACCGAUCCAGACCGAUCUUUUCCACGCGGAUCUAUUACCGAAUCUUGACUCGAGAGAGGAACUUUCGAGGAGGAACAACGUCGAUACAACACAUCCCUUAUCUUACCACACAUCGAAAGGUCAAUAUGCACCGAUUACCAUCGAUCACACUUUACACACACGUACACCGUGAAUAAUAAUAGUUUCGCCCACUUGCGAGCAUAUUAUACCCACCACCGUUUAAAGAUGAUUUCACAUCGUUUCAAAUCGACGAUUAUACCGUUACACGAGUCUGGAUAACGGAGAGGGGAGAGAGAGACGCGAAAGAGACGCGUUACCUAAUCUGUGAAUUUCAUCGCGGGAGAGAGAGAGAGAGAGAGAGAAAAAACAAGAUCGUAUCAAUCAGGGACAGGGAAUCUUGCAAGAUCGCAUCUGUCCCAACCGAAACGUGCUUUUCAAUGCGCGAUCGAUGCUGACGUCAGGGAGAGCUAAGUUGAAAAUGGGUUGCAACUAAUUUUCCGCAUCUUCCAAAAGCCAGGAGUCGUUUGCGAACUUUUCGUUUCGAAAAACGAACGUGUUGCGUCACAGAGAGAGAGAGGGAGAGAGAAAUGUGUUCGCGGCGAGUGGUAACGAACGGUGGAAACUAGAAACGGUAAAACUUUCCACCAGGUUGAAUUGAACCGAAUCUAGAUUUCGGCCUGCACAUUACCAUAUCUCCUAGGCGAGCGCUCCUGUAUUAUUGAUUCCCGAGCAAAUCUAAAGUCGGUAUUCCGUUUCGGUUUGGAGUACGAACCGCCGCCGCCGCCUCUUUGCCGAAGACGAGUUUCGCUGAAAUUUAUUAACAUUUCGCGGCGAGCAACGCCAUUAACUUGCUUUGAUUGCCGCCAAUCUGAAUAUCAACCUUGAACGACCGUUUUACGAGCCCUCGCUGAUAUUUCGCUCGGCUCGAGGCGAACCUGCGCAACAACGCUCGUCCGACAAAAAGCGCGCGUUGGAAGGAAAGGGAAAUUCUCGCCAGUUCUCGAAACAAAAAAGAGAAAAAUCCAAUUUCUUAUUCGAGUCUUAAUCUCCUCGACAGAUUUCGCUUUUCGAUCGACCGACAAGGGAUGAGAGAGAGGAGAGGAGAAAAAAAAAAAAAGGAAGAGAAAAAAAAGGCCUCGGUUCGAGACUCGGUGGGAAAUGCGGCGUGAAAAGCGGGACGCGUGGUAUCGAUGAAUCGAAAAAAACCGACGACGAGACGACGAGGAGGAGCGGGGAGAAUCCGUGAAACCUGGGCUGUUUGCGUGAAAUAAAAGUACAACGACAAAUAGCGGAGAAGCCCGUUACUUAACCGCUUCGGAGCACCGUUAACUCACCUGACUGCGUGUAUGGAAUAUACAGGGUGUCUCCUCCGUGUAUAUCCUCAGCGUACGUAUAUAUUACGACACGGGACGAUGAUUCUCGAUCGAUCUAAAUGCAUCAUCGUGUAUAUAUUAAUUGCUCCACGAUUCCAAUUGUAUUCGCGCCCUACAAUUAAUUACAAGAAAAGUCUGGCGUUUUCUCGACAACAACGGCGAGAUUAAUUGAGCCGAACGGCCUUUUAUCACGAAUUUCCUCUCGAAUCGAUCGUUCCAGAGAGUUCCAGAGAGCGGAAAGGGAGGGGAAAGAGAGAGGACACGAGUCACGAUCAGGGGUCUGUUUUAUCGUCGGACUACGACAACUCUUUUGCAACAACGGGAAUGAAUAUUAUAUUCGCUGGAACAACUGAAUUCCGGUUUACUUUUACAGAAGGCGAGCUCGAUUCGAGAAACGGUCGGGUUCGAUAGCUAUCACGAAUAAUCGGGGACGCAACAAUUAAAAACGAUAUGAACGAGGAAGGAGAGUCGAAUGAAUGCAGCAGAAUGGAUUAUUCGUUCCUCGAGGCGUUCCACGUUCCGUCUAUCGACGGAAAGAAGAAAGAAGACGAAGAAAGCGAAGAUAGCAAUCCAGGAUGAAUUCUCAUUUCGGAUGGAAAGAGGUCAAGGGUCGAGGGUGUCCGAUUGCAGCCACGAUUUCCAGAGACGUCGAUCGUUUCCUGGAAUUAGCGCCGCUUUCAACGGCGUACGGUAUCUCGAGCGGCGUACAAGGCCGGAAUUCGCAUAGCUUGCCGGCAUUUCGCUCGCAGAUUUGACCGAGUCAUGAACUUGGCCAGUAUUCCAGUCCGGUUUCCCGUUGACCGUAACGCGGCUGCGUUCGUUCCGCGACGUGAAAUCGCGUGCAGACGUUGUACGAUUAAACCGGCGGAAUGACUAAUUAAUCGGGGAGAAAACGUCGUUGCGUGUUCGGCCGCGAUACACCUCGAUUCAAAGGAGGAAGGGAGAGAGAGAGAGAGCGAUCGAGGGUUCGAAGGACAAUUGGGUGGAAAAUCGGAGGAAAGGAACGUUUGGAGCAGGAAAGUUUUCAAAUACUUUUUUACCCGGUGGUUUGGCUUCGCGGUGGACAACGAACAAGUGGUUAACAGCGUUGUAAAAGCUGCUGUUGUUUCACAAUGGCCGCUACCGUUCGUUCCAGAUAACGAGGCCUCCCCCUCCCCAUCCCGCUCACCAACUUUCUAAGCCGUGCGGCAAAAGCAAGGGGUCCGAUCUUUCCGUUCUUUUCCCGGUACGAAUCACGCGAUCGCGGGGCCCCAGGUACGCCACGCCACACGUACACGCGGCGUGCCCGAGAGUGUUUGCGUGCCGGUUGCGGAGAACCGCUGGUGUUAAUGUUCCAUCGGCAGAAACCGGUUCCCCAGACACCGGGAAUCGAUCGAAUUGACCCAACCUCGCUCCACGCACGAUACCCUCCUGACUUUGUACCGUUCACCAACCAGCCACCGAAAUGAAUCGUUCUUUUCGCGUCGCGUGUCUCGUUCUAACGUCAUCCGGCAAGAGCGUACGAUGUAUAAUCCGUCGCGAUGCGAUUUAUCGAGACACAAGGAAAAUAAUGAUAAUAAAUAAAAGGAAAUAACGUAAGUUUGAAACGUAUUAUCGAAUGUUUGCGCACGGGAUAUAUAUAUAUAUAUAUCCGAACAGGUUGAACACGACGUCGAAACCUAAUAUAUACAGCUGGAAACGAAGAGGAAUAAUACUCGGCUUACUUUUACGGAGUGCAGACGCGUCAUGGUCACCCGUUCCCUACCUACCCAUAGUUAUAUACCGUUACUUACGAAACCUCGGCGAAUCCGAACGGUUAAAAGGCGAUCUCGUUCACGAUAGACGCGAGUUUUCGUGGGACGGAAAAAAAAAUGAACGGGUGGAACGGGUUCACAAUUAUCGAGCUAUAUAGUCCAUAGACGUAUCCGCCAUCGGACCCUCCGAAGACAAUGGCUAUUGUAACCGUCUAUUCGUGGUUCUCUCUCUCUCUCUCGCUCUCUCUUCGGUCUCUCGGCACGCACCGCGGCCUCUCCCGUUAUAAGCGCUACCUACCCUAGUUUGCAAAAUUCAAUUAAAAUAAACUCUCUCUCGUCGGGACACGCGUCCUCUCUUAUCGGUGAGGGACAAUCCCACGGGAGGAGAAAAAAAGGGAAGGAGGAGAGAGAGAAGGUGGAAAGGAAGUGAGAGAGAGAGAGAAAGAGAAGGGACGAAGGCAAACUCGACGAAGGAGAACUCGCGUGAUAAGGGUUGAAGCCACACCUUGAUACCAGAUACCCCUUCGCGGUAGCUUUUAGCCAAAUGACGCGGAUUUUAUUAUUGGAUGGCCUUUAAGGGUGCGGCCAGGUUAUCCUACCAUAGUCUAAUGGGCCGUUAACCAGCCCCACCUUCCUCUUGGCAUUCUUUUUCCUUUUUUUUUUUUCACUCGUUAUGCGUCACGUAAAAAACACGGGUCGACCUCUGACACGCGACUCCAUCAUAUUCAUAAAAAAAAAAGAAAGAUCCACGAGAAGGAUCCUUUUUUUUUACCCUCAACCAACAACCCUUCGUGUCCUCUCUCUCCAUUCGAAUCCGAGAUUCACGUGUCGCGAGAAAAGUAGUAGCACGGUGAAUGAGGCGAAAUUAGGGAUGGCAAAUUGGCUCGUGGCUGACGAUAUUACUUCGAGAGAGGGAGAGAUGAGCAGAGAGAGAGAGAGCGUAGCUUUUGGAACGAGAGUAAAAUUGAAUCGGUAACGAUGAAAGAAAUCGAAAGCGCGUCCUCCUCCCCUCGAAAUCUCGGAAAUGGGAAUGUACGAUCGUGUUUGAACAAAUAUACAGGAUCCGUGAAAGAUCGGUCGUGAAAGCGUGUCGGUGGGAAAAUAUUCCAACGGCGAAACCAACGGCGUGUAAUUGUUCCCGAGGAGAAAAAUCGAUUGGCGAAGAAAUUCGAAAGUUGGAGACCGAUUUUGUCGCUGGAACGUGAAUGACGUUCGAAGAAUGGAAAAACCGUGAAAGAAAUUAGAGGAAGUCCAGCGUGGAAGCGUACAAGAAAGCGUGUCGUUGGUGGAAACCGUGCCGAAUACUUGCUCAUCAACACGAGAAUAAUUUCUAUCCGAGAGAAAUAUUCUUUCUCCCAUUCCAAUAUCUUACCAUCCCCUGUUUACAACAGAAAAAUAAAGAAACACCUUAUCGAUUACAUUCAAAAUAAUUUCGAAAAAAUGUUUCAAUAUUCUUCUAAUCCUCUCGGAUCGUCCAAUCAGUUCGAUCCUAUCGCAAUCUUGAAGCGAGUGUCGAUUAACGCGACAAAGUAGAUCGAAAACGUACAAGUGUUAAAAAUAAUAUAUUGGCUGGAACGAAUUCGUCGAUGCCUCGGUUCGAUACCGUUGUUGAUUGGGGGAGGAACAACCCCUUUCCCCUUCGCCGCCCAAUUCCCUGCGCAAAUUUCGUUGUCCGGAACGAAGUCCACGUUUUCGAGACGACGUGGACUUGGCGGCGAAGGAAACUUGGGCGGAGGAAAGAGAGCGAGGUGAGCCAAUUAGUUUUAUUAAGGGGGAGAGAAGAGAAAUCGGCGUGGGCGUCGUGGCAACGUUAGACGAGCGAGGAAGGUCUUCCCUCGAUGGCGCCGCCGCCGCCGCCGCCGAUUUUAUUAGACCGUUAUCGUCCACCACCAGACGGAAUAUUUGUCUUCGGCUUCGCCUUUUCGCCGUGCCGGCCACUCUUUUGCCCGACCUUCUGCCUGCCACGCGGCCAGCAGGCCUGUGUUACGCAGUGGAACACGACACUCUCUGUAACGCUCUAUUUUCACGUAAGCGCGGUACACGCGUCAUCCAUCCACGCCCACGCGAACGCGCAUUCGACGUCACAUUCACAGUCUUCCUCACGAGCGGGGAAGAAGGCAAGUCGUUAUAAGAUUUAUCGGAUAACGAUGACCCGAUAAAAUGACUAAAUGGGCGAACUGGAAUCGAAAUGGAACGGAGAAGGGUGGGGAUAUAUAUCCACUUCUCACGAAACGUUCAAAUAGCAACAUCGGCGUAUCAAUAUUUGCCCGUCCCGAGGCGCGGUUUACCUUUUCUUACCGUGCGCGCCGCGGAAGCGUUAUCGAACACGAUAACGCCCGCCGUUGCGUCUAUCAAUUCUCUAAUCUCUCUCUAUUUCUUUCUUUCUUUUUUUUUCGCACGAGUUCGCUCCAUUUUCCCCUGCUGCUCCCGUUCCCAAGAUUCGUCACGCCUAUCCGAUCCGCAAUCGGCGAAGAGGAGGAGGAGAGGUUGUGCUCGUUAUGAACGGGAAUCGAUGAAUUCGUAAUCGUAAGCGUACAUCGAGUAGAAAGGGAGGGGAAGAGGGUGGAACACUGUCGAGCAUUGGCGAGGAAAAGAGAAAAAAAUAAAUAAACGACAAUAAACACACGGAGGAACCGAUUAAUAUCAGCGAAGAUAUCGGCGCUGAUACCGAGUGGAAAGAGAGAUAGAAAGAAGGGGGAAUAAAGAGAGAGAGAGAGAGAGAGUAGAGAAACAGGUCCUCGAGUAUGGGAGUUGAUUUUAAUACCCCCUAGGGAGAGAGGGGUUGUGGAUGUGACCUUUAUGAAAUGCUACAACCUUUGUAAGCCCUGAUUGCACUUCUUCAUAUAUACACAGGGUGGCGCGCACACGUAUUUACUGGCACACGUUCACGCGCGAGAUACGUGGACGAGCGCGGUAUGAAAGCGCGAGCACGUCGGAUCGCGUUGUACGUGCACACAAAGCGGGCCUAGACACCGGUCUUAGGAUCGUCUGGUUUGCGCACCGACCAUUGUUUUUUCAAAUACACACGUCUCCUCCGACUAUACGUGGUAAUCGCGAUCCACGAGAGAGAGAGAGAGAGAGAGGUGGAUAAAAUAAGGGGCGGUGUAUCGAAGGUGAGCCAUCCAAACGAUCGCGCCAACGUAUUUGUGUGUAUACAUGCGUGUAUAUAUCGCGCAGACUACGACGACGACGACGGCGGCGACGACGUGGAGGAGAAUUAUCGAUCGAUGGAAAUGGUGCCUCCACGUGACGUUUACAUACGUUUAGAUAAGUUUACGCGUUCACCUAAGAAGACCUGUCGCCAAUCCGAGAGAACGCCUCGAAUCUGGCUUCUCCCUUUGGAAAUUACCGCCAGUUUGUAACUUGCUUCGGGAGAGAGAGACGGGAACUUUGGACGGACGGAAGAGUAGCUGUUAGAUUUCAUCGUCAUCGCCUGCGCGCGCGCCACGAGGCGAGUUCCUAUUUCGCAUUUCUUCUUUUUUUCUUUCUUCUUUUCGCGAAAAGAGAACGAUAGAUUUCUUAGGGAUCGUGUUCGAUAGGAUCGUUUCCGUUCUUCGAAUAUUUUUUUUUUCUUUACGGCAAGAGAGAUCGAUCGUUUCACUAUCUGAGGCGUAAAAAAAAAGAAAGAAAGAAAGAAAAUCGAGGCUGAUAGGAAGGUUCGCGGAAAAAGAGGUUGUAAUCAGCGUAAAUAGAAAUGAAGGGAGCAAAGGAAGCGGCGAGAAAAUUGCAGGAAUAUCGUUCCAACUUGGAGCUCCGCUGCGAAACAACGGUACUUCCGCGAUCGUAAACGUUGCUUGACCGUUAAGUUGACUCUUUUCGCUUCGUUCAGAGGCCCCCCUCUCUCUUUCUCUCUCUCUCUCUCUUUCCCCUCUUCUACUUCUUUUCUCGGUAUAUCUAUGCGACCAAAGAAGACGUGAGAAUUAUUCAUAACGGCGAGGAAUCGUGAAAAUAAAAAUAAAUUGUGAACCGGUCGAACCGGGCUAUCGUAGAGAGGCGACUUCUCUUGUGAAAGAAACGUAGGCGCUGCAAUUCGUCGAUUUAUUUACCAAUCCUCGAAAGAUUACGUAAGCGAAAGGCGGUGGGUUCUCUUUGCUAAAAAAGAAAGAAAGAAGAAGAAAAAAAAAAAAAAAAUCCCAUCAAUAUUCGCCGCGUGUUCGAGUCAAUAUACCAUCCGCGAGAUAGAAUUUAAUUUUGUUUCCUUUUACGAAAGAACCUUCCGGCUUAUUACCUCGGUCUCAAGGCAAACUAUCCGUCUAUCCGUCUCCCUUUCUCCGCCCGGCUUUCUCCUCCUCCUCCUCCCUAUCCCUCUCCCUCUCCCUCUCCUUCCUCUCCCACCGCCGGGACAAACCUCGGUUAAACUUCCAUCGAACAAGUUUCAAAUGGAAUUCUUCUGUCGGCCGUUAAUAGCUCGAUAGGAAAGAAAUCCGUGGUGGUAUCGAAACGAAGCGGAAUAAAGGAUCGAAGGCGGUUGGCGGCGGUUGAUGGGCUAUGAAAAGCGUCGCGCGGCCGCCCGUACAAUGCCGGUUUAAAUGAAACACGUGAAAAUACGCGAUCCGUGAACGCGGCACAAAGGAGGAGGGGGAGGAGGAGGGUAGUAUCGCGUGAACGUAGCGUCGAAUAAUAAAUCCCUCCCCUCGAUGUAAUAAACGAAAGUGGGAUCGCGUAAUACCUAUCAUCGUGCGAACUCCUCUUCCUUUGAACAGGUACACGCUCGACGACGCGUGGCGUCGCGCCGCUCCAGACCAGAGAGAAACGAUCGAAUUUCACGUGUGCGGCCGGCAAACCGAUUCGCGCCGCCAUCCAAUGAAACGUGGGAGAUGAAGAAGGAAACCUCGAGAAGAGAAUCGAACGAAUUCUUCGAUUCCUCGAAGGGGACAGAGAUUUUCUUUUUCUCAUAAAUAUCGCGCGCUCUGAUCGGGAGAAGAGAAGACUGCCUCUCGUGGUUCUGUAAUUUCCAACGCGUUUGCUCGGAAUUAUCGUAGCUACGGCUCGGUGUAAAAUGACAGGAACGAAGGACGACGGGGAACGAGACCGUUUUGUAUUCAAACGUCGAGGGAGGAGGGAUCGAUAAAAACGGCAGCUCUCUCGAGCGACCUGUAACGAUUAUUAAUCGUGGAACGUAUUAACCACGACACGUCUAUGCGUCGUUCGUUCGUUUUCUUUCCGAGCGCGGUUGGAGAAGUAAAGAGAGAGAGGAGGAGGGAAGGAGAAAGAGAGAGCGGAAGAGGCGGUUUCCGGAGUGAAAAAAAGCUAGGAGCGGAAAUUCGUCGCGAUAAGAAUAAUCGAGUCCCGCGAACCAUCGGCCAGAGGUCUGUUCCUCGAGGUCGAAGGAACUCGUUAGGGAAUUAAACGAGGCUUCUUGUUAUUAACGAAACGUUUCGAAGCAAGAUGAUCGUUUCCUCGAUUCACACGUGUGACGCAUAUGACGCAUGCGCGUUUUAUAUAUAUAUAUAUAUAUAUAUGAAUUGCUCGAGCUAAUUAGAAAAAUUCAGUAAGAUGAUACGGUAAGAUAAGCUGCCGUCCUCUUCUUCGAGAACUCGAUAACAGAGGAGAUAUUCCUUCCGCGAAAUAACGCGACAAAAAUAUCAAUCUCCGAUUACGGUACGAUUUACGAUUAAAAAAUUUUCUAUUACUCGAUCCGAGAUUCCCGAAGUGUAAUCUCGAAUUAAAUUUGAACCACGGUCGCGAGCUAAAAAUUGUCCGGCCACAAUAUUCGAUUACACGACGACGCGUAUAUAUCUGCCUCGAAUUCCCCGGUUUUGAUUUUAACCGCGCGCGCGGAGGGGGAAAAAAAAGAAAGAAAAAUGGUCGAACGAAAGUUGAUCGACCGAGAGGCGAAAACGAAACGAAAUUAAAACUAAAGCUAAAGCUAAACUUCCUACCACGUGUCCACGUUCUUUCUCGAUCUCCAGAUAAAUCAAUCCCACGAUAUUCUACGCGGGUGAUAAUACGAGGAUGAAAGGGGAUCGAGAAUCUCGAGCACGGAUCUAGCGAGGGAGGGGGAGAAACUACUAUUCGCCAAGUGACUAAACUAGCCACCGUGGUAAAGCGUUCGAUGGGCUCUGCUGGUUAUAUCUCCGGAGCGGCUGAAGAAAAGGCUGGCAACGUGAGAGUGCACGUUGAAGGAGCGCGCUAUCUCAUCGUGGUCGCUUGCUCAGCGGUAACGCGAGACUUGCUGUGCGGUAACAAGAGCUGCCCCGGUAAUUAUUACAUUCCCUUCGUGAGACGUAUUAAACGUAAGGUAGAUUCGAAUGGAAGGAAGUGACGGCGAAGUCUCGGCCGGAACCCGUGAAUUAUCGCGUCUCUAUAAAAGGACGGCGCGCUACCAGAAAACUGCCAGCUUUAUCGUCUAAUUAAUCCUUAUUUAUAUCGACCAAUUUGAUAACCGGUCUUUAUUUACACGCGAUACGAGCCGAUAUCGAGGGAGGAGGAGCGAGCCAAGCGAUCGUUGAAGCGACGACGAUCCUCGAGUGUGUCGAGGCAAUACGGUGACGUUCCCUUCUUACAAUUUCACGGCCGUACGAAACGGUGUAAAAUACGAGAUCGAUAUAGAGGCGGCGGGCGUCGAACCGUGACAAGCGGCGCGAUUAUCGAAUGGAAUGCGGCGUAACCUUCGAGCGAACGCGAAAAUCGAAACGCGUUGCUGGAACCAACACCCCCGCCCGCCCCACGUUUUUCCACGCGGCGGAAAUUUCAGAAUCUGUUAUCGAAGACGGAACUUUGUUCCUCUUAUAAAUGGGCGGAACAUGGGAGCGCGGGACACUCGAAUGAAAUAUUCCACGCGACUAUGUGUAAACGUCGGGUCUCCAAUUUAUUUGAAAGAGAAAAAGAAGAAAAGGAAGAAGAAAAAAGAGAGAGAGAUUAGAUUUGGAACGAGAGAAGAGGGGAAACAAUAGGGAUCUAUAACUUUUCGAAAAGUUGGUUUAACAAUCCGCAAGAGAGAUGUUACAUAUUUUAAUCCGUUUUUUUCGCGAUAGAAAAAAGAGAAAAAGGCUCGACCACGGCUCGAUUCGCGAAGGCCAGUCCGAAAAGGAAAUAAUGUUAAUUAGCGCGGGGCGUAGCACUUUGGCUGGAGUUCAUCGUCGCGUUUUCACUUUAAAAUCCCUGGAUAAAAGUCCCAUUUUCCCCCUCCUUGCUGUUUGCACGACGCUUCACGCGCGUUCCUAUCCAAUCUCCCUGCGUCUCUCUCUCUCUUUCGACGCGAGAUCGGAAUGAAAAGCGAAUCGCCGCCGAACCGCGCCGAUUUCACCGUAGAAUGAAUCGUACCGAUAGAGCGUACGAGUCUCUAAGCGAGAUAUGGCUGAAAGUGCAGCCUUGAAUUCACGGCAAAUCAGUCGUAUGCAUAAUAAAGCGACAUCCCAUGGAAACCCUCUCUCUCUCUCUCUCAAUAUCUAUUUCACUUUCCCGCCGCGCGGAAAAGAAAAACGAUCGCCCGCCAUCGUUUUUCCCCCUUUUUUGUAUCUUUCUCGAAUUGGCAACGAUCUGUGAACCUUACAGAAGAAAGAAUACAUACCACUACCAGAUCCGAUUUCGAGUUGGAACCGAGGGAUUUUAUCGAGAAGCUAUCGUUCUCGCUUUCCUCUUUUUAUUUAGACGAGCUACCACCACGUUGAAAAGAGAGAGAGAGAGAGAGGAAAAGUCCAGGCGUUCGAAUGUUUAAAACAUUCCUCGUGGAUCGUGGACACGACCGAGUUUCGAGGAAGCGGAGGCGGAGGGGAAGGUGGAAAAGCGAGCGACGAUCGAUCGCGCUCGAAACACUUUCACGGCGAAAAGGACGCGGAAGUAGAUAAGGACGAAACGUGUCAAAAGGAAGGCGGGAAUAACGAAAGCGCGGUUGCAAGCAGCUCGCGGUCCUCGACAGCUGGCUCGGUUUUCUGGCUAGUCGAUGCACAGACAAUGCGCCAUAGAAAUUGCCAGAUGCAUCUACAAGUGCCACCCGUUCCGGAAAGGAAAACGGCGUCGAAAUACGUGCAGGUUCCACAACGUUCCCUCCUAUCGAUCGCGCGCAUAUACGUGUGGAUCACGUGUAGAACCGUGUCCUCGUCGUUUCGCCUCGUCGAUCAAUCUAAUCGCCGCACUUCUGCACUUUUCCCUUCUCUCCUUUUUUUUUUCCUCGAUAUCGAUCCCCGGUAAUCGAUAUCAUCCGAUAGAUCGGAUAACGAAUUGCUCGAUCGAGAGAGUAGAUAAUUUUCUGCUAGAUAAUAAAUAUUUUAAUACGCGAAGAGGCGACUAUUGAUAAAUUAUUAGAGGAAAUUAUAUAUAUAUAUGUACCGUGAAAAGGGACAGGUUAAAUCACUCGGGGAAUCCGCGUUUUCACGCGUUGAAAGUGGCUCGUUUCCCGCGCACAAUCGAACAUGUUGACAUUGGCAGUCGCUGCAUAAAUCCUGCGAGCCGCGUAUAAAUAGACCUCUCUCGUUUGCAAAGGAAAGGUCGUUACUGAAUGUACCACCACGAGUUGCAAUGUCUCUCCGGACGGAGAGGGAAACUCGAGAGGUGGAUGGCUCUCGAUGACUUAACCGGUGAAGUACGCGAAAACGCGAGUUCCCCUUGCUCCCCCGCGAAUUGGGUCGCGAUAGCAAAAAUAUAUCUUAUGCAAUCGGCGGGGACGAUAUCCGAUCGUUAACGCGAUAAGAAUAAUCUCUGCCUCCGCGCAAAGAAGAAAAAGAAGAAGAAGAAGAAGAAGAAGAAAGAGAAGAGGAGAGGCUUAUUACUUUAAACCUCAUCAUCCGGACGUUUAAUAAUCCGAGGCCGAUUACAACGAGAGGAGGUUUAUCGAAAUGGAUUCUCUUUUUUCCUGGGUUGGCAUACUUGCGAGCUGAAAGGAUCGUCGUCUUGAGAACUCCUCGAGUUCCGGGAGUCUCUGAGGAGCGAGAAGAGGCGAGCGGUUUGUGCAAUAGCCGAUGCAACGGUAUCGAAGAAAGACAGGGGAGGAGACGAGGCGAGGGGAGGGGAGGAAGACGGAAAAGGGGAGCCUCGAGAAGCCCUCCACCGUGUUCUUAGCAUUCCAUCGAGAAUCGUGGCUCGCGGUUAGACUAACCACCGAGUGUAUACACCAAUCGCGGAAGAAGAGGGCUUUUGAAAGACGACGAAAGGAGCCGAAAAACCCGACCGUUCCACGUACACAGAGAAACACGCGCCAUUGACGCGCCUCCAUAUAUACUUCGAUAUAUAUAUAUAUACAAAUUUUCCCUAUAGGAUUGCUGAAAUCCAAUUGGCGUUAAACGCGGAUCAACUACCGAACUACCCUUCCUCCAUCGAUCGUAUCUAUCAAGCGUCAUCUCGUUACCGAACGUUUCCACGCUUAUCCCAGCUUUCGUACGUCUUCAAAAACGAUUAAUCGCACGACUCUUGCCUCGAGUAACGAAAUAUUUCCCGCGCCAAUUUUCGAAAUUGGCGCUAAUUUACAUACCUACGUACGUAUAUACACGCGCGCGCCAGGAUAUAUCGCGGAAUAAGAAAGAAGCGAUCAAGAGAGGGAGGGAAAUCCGGUGGAAUGGAAUUGUUUUAUGGGGAGAGUUGCGGGGAGAGAGUUGUGCGUAAAUCGGGCUCGGCGCGAUAAUUAAAUUUCCACAGCGCGGUGGAGGGAAAGUGGUGAAAAGAGGCGAAAAGAGGCUGGUAGGCGCAACUCGCGGACCAAUUAGGAAGAAUUUAACUUUUCCCCACAAUGGGGGUAAACGUAAAUCGAGCUCGGUAUACCUCGAAACCGAGGCGUGGCGUUAACUUCGUUUUACGAGGUUCAUUUGUUUUCACCUCGGGCAUACGCUAACUUCGAUAUAUAUAUAUAUAUAUAUAUAUAUUUCCUUGCCCUUUCUCCUCCUGCUUCUUCCCUUCCCCCGUGCAACUUUAAAUUUGAUCGUCGAAUGGAAGAAUCGACGUGUCUGCACGGGAAACGCGGUCAAACCUUCGCUCGGCAACGAAUUACAUAUAUACAUAUAUAUAUAUAAUAUGUAUAUAUAUAUACACACGUAUAUAGAGGUUCUUUUGUCCAGAUUAGGAUCGGGAACUACUUUGCGUGCUGGCGAGUACGGCCAGUACACCGGCUCAAGGUGGGGCAAUAAUUAGAUUUUCAGGGACGAAGGAAGCCAAGAACGAGGCAGAGGUUUCGUAUAUCGUCUUCGCGUCGCGACGUCACCGAGAAGAAAAGAGACGGAAAGAGAGACGAAGAGGAGAGGAUCUGUUCUCCACCGAUGACGAACGACGAUCUUUUUCCCUCUCGAGGAGAAUGAUUACGGAGAGUAUAGAGGAAAAUCAUUAUCGUGUGCAUGGUUGGGAGAAAGGGGCAGCCGGCGUGAUAAUUAAAUUUCCAUAGACGAAGACUGCGGGUGAAAAGGUGGAACGAGAGGAAAACUGUCGGCGGAUGGAAGAAGCUCGGGAGGGUAAAAGGUUGGAAUUAUGGUAAACUAUGUUCCCCCUGCGACUUUCGUCGUUACGAAUUAAGUCACGCUACGCUGCGUACACCUUCUCUCCUCCACCCCGUUUUUUCCUCCACUCCUCUCCUCUCCCGCGGCACCCGAGUAAAACGUCCAAUGUCAAAAGUCGAGAGCGAAGUUUUGAAAAACAAAAAUUUUCCAAUUAUCUCGCGGUUUUAUUUAUUAUUUUUAACGCGAAAAAACCGGUUCGUUGCAAAAUUCUAAUCGACGUCAUUAUCGUGCGCGCGAUAUCAUCGACGCAGAAGGAAAGAGAAAAUAUAUAUAUAUAUAUAUAUAUAUACACGACAAACAAUACGCCUUACAACAUUUCCUCGAUGUGUGACACAUCGUGAGAGAAAGAGAGAGAGAGAGAGAGAGAAUCGGCGUCGUCAAUGGGAAAAACGGCGCGCAGAAAGCGCGGCGGAAAAACCGUGACGGAGGCGGUUUUGGAUGAAGACAAAUAUAUCGGAGAGGUAUUAUAAAGUAUGCGGCGAAACACGAUGCGGUGUUUGCACGCGAGCAACGAGAUAAAUCGUGGCUAAAGCUCGCCCCGACUGCUUAAACAUUUACGCGUUGAUAAAACACAUUUUCCCGCUGUUAUCGCGAUGGUAAAUGAUUCGAAUAUUAUAUGCGGCGGUGAUAAACGCGGCGCUGGAAGGGGACCCGGGGGAAAUGCUGAUGAAUGAAAUCGAACGAAGGAUCCUGGGGAAAAAAAAAUGAAUAGAAGAAGCGUUCGAGCGAUUUGAAGCAUUCUGGAAGGAGAAAAAAAAGAAGAGGAGAAGCGAGGGAUACGAUAGUUUUGGUAAGGUCACGGUUGAGUACAGCGAGUAUCGACGAAAGAGGAGAGGAAUCUCGUGGUGCUCGUUUCGUCGAGUGGUAUUUCGUCGCCGCGCCGCGUUCGAGAGCGGCCGCGUGUCGGAAGUAUCGAGGAUAUUAGCAUAUCGCGUGCGCUUUCACCGAGGUUAUCAAAGACACUCGGCCAUACGUUUCUGCCGUGACACGAGUGUAAGAGCGAGCUCUAUUUGUCGAAAUGCUAAUUAACGAAAGAAAAGGAAAGAAAGGAAAGGAAGAAAAAGUUCUCCGUCGAUAAGAAGAUCGCAUCCGAUUGUAUCGACCGAUUUGACGAAUAAUCGUGCGCACAUAAUUGAACGUGUCGCGAAACUCCAAACAUCGUUAAUAUCAAAAGCGGACGGGCAGAAAGACGGACAGGUCUAACCAAACACCGAACAUUUAUCGAUCCCCUCCCUCCUCCCCUCUCGUAUUUCCAUUUUCAUAAGAUUCCCCUGAUAGAAACGACGAGUCAUUCGACAACGCCAACCAAGUCGUUCCUCCUCUAACGCGGUUAUAAGGACGGGGUAUGCAUAAAUAUGAAUUUGAUGCACGCAACACGGAUCGGUAGAUUAAAAGCGUGAUGGCUCGUUUCGAAGAAUCGAGUCACUUAAUUAAUCGGCGUUAAUUAAGACAACUACAUUGUUACGAACUUAGGAAUCCCGCGCAGCUUGUAUUAUUAAUUACCCAUUUCAUAGAGGCACGCCUGAAUGUUGAAUCGAAUUAAUGCUGCGGCGGGAAGUCGUCGCCUUCCUUCGAGCUUGUGUCUCGACGUGGUUCGAAAAAAAAAAAAAAAAGAAAAGAAACGAAAAGAAAAGGGAAAAAAAAAAAAAAAAAAAAAGAUUGCACGCUUAAAUUUCGCGCAGACGAACAAUACGUAACCGGAUUUCUGCUUCGUAAGACUUUUUAACGACGCGGUCGUUGGUGGUGGAACGUGGAAAAAAAAAGGAAAAAAAAGAAAGAGAGAAAGAAAGAAGGAGAGGGGAAAAAAAAAAUAAAGAUAAAAAUAUGCGCGAGGUAGCCACAAGCGCAAGCUUUCGUCCUCGCUUAGGAUCUCGAUUAGUAUUCCAAGGAGGUGGCGGGAUCGAGUUGCGCUGUGAUCGACGAAAAAUUUUUAAACUCGGUUAACACACUUGCGCACACGACGACGCUACGACACUCGGUGUGCGAGGAUUAAGGAACUCGUAAACGCGAAACAACCGUUCGUUUUCCACGUUGAAAAUUGUCGUCGUGACUCUGCGCGGAUAAAACACCGUAUUCGUUUUCUCUCUUAAUUAUCGAGUGUCUCACGGUCUUCCGCUUUGAGUUCCUCUCGAUUCUUCUCUCUUCUCUAUUUUGUUCUUCUUUCUUUUUUUCUUUCCACAAGGGUGAAUUAAGAAGCGCGGCGGCGGAGGCGGCGACAUCCACAGAACCAAUUUUCUUCCCCCGGAAAAAAAUCCCUCUCCCCUUCCCUCUCCCUCCUCCUGCGAGGGAGGAGAGAAGAGAAAUACCGUGGACGUAGCCGUGUAACCGGUAAUCGGAACGUGAAGAGAAGAGAGUAUCUUUCAACUCAGAAUUGCGAAACGUGUCGCUGAACAUCGGCUCCUCCGUGAUUCGCGGAAAGUCUCUGUGUCCGUGUCUUCGAUUUCUCUUUGUCACACUAAUAUAACGCUCCGUCUUUUCGGAGGGGGAAGGGAAAAAAACGGUUAAAAAACACAACUAAAAAAGUUUAUUGAGAGAAUCUCGAUCUUUCCUAGAGUUCCUUAAAUUUAUUUAUUUAUUUUUUCUUUUUCCUCUCCGCUUCUUUAAUUCGAGAACAAAACUACUCGAGUAAAUUUAUUAUCGGGUACGAUAAACCGCAGGACGAAUUACACUCCCCCUCUGUUUAUCGGAGAUGCAAUUCUUAAAUCAGGACGCGUGUUAUUCGAGGUUAAAGCAGGUUACUCGAUUAUAUCUGCUCGGAUGUAUCGCGAUGGAGGGAGAGGGACGGGGAGAGGGGAGGAGGAGGGCACGGUAUGCGCAUAUGCACGUUCCUGACCUAAUACAGUUAAACGUGCGCCGAUACACAUAUUAGCAACCUCAUUAACGGGAAAAGUUUAGAUAUUUAAUAGUCUAACUUUUUAUUGCUCGCCCAUCGAAAAUAGCGCGCGUGACGGAUAGCAACAGCCUCGGCGAUGGGGUUAAACCGUUCGGAAACUGGACGUAACUGAUCUCGUUCGUUUCAUUGGCGGCGGCGCGAGUGGAGGAAAAAAAAUCGAUCGAGAUUAACCGUGCACCGUGGCGUUGAUUAAAGCAUCGACGUUGUAUACACGGCUUGCUCGCGCCUAGAAACCGUUGCCGCCUCGUGCUUUUACGCGCCGCCGAUGAGAACUCGCGUCGCGUAAAAAAAAAAAGAAGAAA
rnacentral:lncRNA from 1 species